AGGACUAUCUGGCAGUCAGUCACCAGGGCAAUCUGCCCAUGGGUGAGCGUGGUAGAGGCAAUGAUGGUACU
rnacentral:miRNA from 12 species